GAGAAGCCAGUUGCAUUUGGAAUUUGGAAUGCUUUAUUUUCCUGGAUUUUUCUUGCUAUGAUGAAACUUAUCUACUAAUUACAUAGUUUCACAUGUGUGUCUUGAAUGCACAAUCAAUGUGUCUAGGCCAAAAUUUCCCUUAUUUUCCUUAUCUUUUUUUGGACCACCGCAUAUUGUUGAUUGUGUUUUGAUCUCUAUGUAUAAGUUUUACCUGCAUUUUUU
rnacentral:misc_RNA from 1 species